AAGGUAUGGAGAUGUCAAAAUUUUGGAAAAAAAAAAAAAACCCUAGAAUCCGAAUUUGGGGGAUUUUAAUUAAUUAAUUGUGAAGUGAUUAAGUAAAUGAAAUAUUUCAUUUGGGAAUUGAUUUUAUGGAACAAAGGUAUAUUAUGUGGGUGGAAUUGUGGUUACUAGUUUCAUUAGAUUGGAGAUAAAAAUUAGUUUUAAAUUUGAAAUGAUGGUUAUGUUGAUAAAUUAGUGAAUAACCAAGGAAUUAUAAGGUGUAAUUAGCUCCAAUUAAUAAAGGAAAAUUUGAGAACUUAUUUAAGUACCAAGAGCAUUUAAAUUAUGUUCUAUUAUUAGCUUUUAAGGUUUCUCGAUUCGAUAGUGGAUAAAUUGGUUAUCAUUAUCGUAUUUCAGGAGGUAACGAGGCGAUUGGAAACGUCUAUCAGCCUAUCUAGCUUGUAGCUCAUACCUUGUGAGUGGAUACAAACUCAUUUUUUUAAAAAUUAGUAUUUAUUAAAUUUAUAUUAUAUUGAAAAUUUAUUAUUUCAUACAGUUAAUUUGACAGCAUGAUCUUUAAAAUAAUGUGAAUUUAUAAUCAGUUAUUUUUAAAGUUAAUUUCAGUUCAAUUAAAUUAUUUUCUCAGCAUGUUACAUUUGUAUUAAAUAGUUCAGCAUAUUUAGAAUUGUUUUCUAAAAACCAUCAGAAAGUACCCAGGUGAUUUUACCCCAAUUUGCACUGAUGUGAAUGUGUUUCCACAGUGUAUGACUACUUACAGUGAUUUUACCCGCUCUGCACUAUUGUGAAUGUGUUUCCAUAGUGUAUGACCAGAUUAUCAGAGGUCUUUGGGACCCACUCUCGUACACACAUAGGCUUUGGGCCGUGUACUAGGGUGAUUAGCCUUUGGGGCAGCUCUGCGUACGUAUGACCAGAUUAUCAGAUUUGAAUGGCUUUGCCUUGCACAUCGAGAUUACUCUGUACAUGAGUAAGGCUAUUCAUUGGGUACUCUUUUUGGUGUGAUUUUUCAGUAUUUAUUCUAUUAUCAGAUUUCAGAUUAUGGAAUUCAGUUAAUUCAGUUUUCAGAAUUAAGCUUUUAGCUUAUAGUAUUAAGGCAGCAAUAUUUCAUAAUUUUUCAUGGAUAUCAGAGUAUUUAUAGUCAUUAUGUUAUACAGUUGCAUUUCUAGAAUUAUGUCCAAGAAAUUAUGAUAUGAUCAUGUUUAGUUUUUAAAAGUGUUACUAUUUUUCAGAAGUUCUUAGCGAUAAAUAGUGCAAGAAUUUUCAGAAAAUAGUAUAAAUGGAAAAGUUUAUUUAUUUUCAACUAUCCACUCACUGAGUUAUAAACUCAUAUCUUUUUACCAUGUUUUCCUAUCAGGAGAAGGUCGAUUCUGAGAUAUUUGGAAAGCCUGCUGAAGCAAAAGAGACCAUUUCCUAAGUAUGUAAUGAAUAGUUGGGAAACUUAUGUUUAUUAAGUAAUUGUCUAAUUUUGGGUGUCAAGCAUAUUUGUAGAAGGGUUUGCAAGUGAUAUAAUACUUGCAUGUUAAUAGGAUGAUGUUGUAAAAACACUCAGUCGAAUUUUGUUAUAUUUUGUAGUAGUUGUGGUAGCAUUAGAGGAAGUGGUGGUUUGCAAAACUUUUGGUUUAAAUGUCUAUUUGAGAUUUUGAUGAUUUUUCAGGUUGGUUUUGUCCAUAUUACAGGGGAAACUCUGUCAAAAUUUUCAUAGAUAUUAGCACAGUCAAAAUAGGUCAAGUUUGCCUUGGUGGUGGGUCCGGCAUUUAGCUGGCAUCUACUACCGGCGCACGACACGUGUCGAGUCAAUUAGGUUGAGUCGGGACGGGUCGUGUCAUUGAAUGUUGUUCACUUUCUCGGAUCCCAUCUUGAACGUUGUUCACUUGGCGUGGAUCCCUAACUUACCAGAAUUCGGGGAUGAAAAUUGGUUUGGGAGGAGAUGAAAUGGUCGUCUGAACGGAGGGAGGCGUGAGGAGAGAGAGGCUUAGGGUUUGGAUUAUUUUGGGUUUCUUUCUCCAUAUGUUAAUCUUU
rnacentral:lncRNA from 1 species